UAGUGAGUGAGGACUCGGACACUUCUUUGAAAACGCGCCGUGUGUACAAUGCUUCCUUCUUUGUAUAUGUUAUCGCACUGGUGGAAUUGUGCCGUGAUUGUGACUCAGUGUUCGUAUCGUCUCUUGUUGAAAUAAACUUUUUCUAAACGC
rnacentral:lncRNA from 1 species